rnacentral:tRNA from 1 species
UUGGGCGUAGUUCAGCUAGGUAGAGCGCUGGCCUUGGGUGCCAGAUGUCGGGGGUUCGAAUCCCUCCGCCCAGA